rnacentral:lncRNA from 1 species
UUUGAAGGAAGGCCCUUGUAGUAUCUAUAUCACUAAUCAAUCUAAGUUUAAAAUUCAAUAAGAUCAAAUUAUCCAGGUCAGUAGGUGGGAGGCUCUCCGUAGCUUUUCUUAGACACCAACAUAGUUGGCCAGGCCAGCAUACGGACCUAAUUAGAAAAUCACCUAUCAUAUUUUUUUCGACACCAAUUGAACUAAAGAAUUCAACUUUUGAAUUGAAAGUG